rnacentral:lncRNA from 1 species
GGACUCCCCGCUGGGUCCAGGCGGGUUCCUCCAACCGGCCUCCCCACCCUCCAGGAAAUGGUGGGGGCGGUUUGCCCUCUCAACUGAGAUCCCCUCCUAGGAGUGGCCUUUUGCUUCUGCUGGCGACGCGCCGCUCCCUUCCCUGGAGUAAGCUGCAACUCCUUCUGGAAGCCAGUGGACUGACGGGAUUUCCUCAGCGGAGGUGCCAAGGGAACUGUUCAGAUAGGUGGAAGACGGACGGUGCACAGGAGCUUCGAGUACUGCUGUGGGUCCGCUUUCCAUCACAUCCGCUGCCUUUUCUGGGCUUACUCUUUACCAAGUGCAGAGCCAAGAGAGGCUGCAUUAUUUCACCUGUGCAGCUUCCCUUGGCUUACUCAGAGCAUGGACAGCUCUCAUCUGCUGUAAACCACAGUUCUCUGCUCCUGUAGAGCCUCCCAGAUCCAACAUUUGGGAAAAUCACAAGCUGGGAAGAGAAAGAUGUUUCCUACAGAACAUGCCUGGGAAAUGGAGAUCUUCUGAGGCUGUGUCAGGUUGAAUAUUGAAUCAGCUGAGAUGUGUGUAGCUGCAAGUCACGUCUGACUAACAGUGGCUAAUGUAAAGAAGACGUUUAAUUAAUUCAUGGAAGUGGAAGUCUGGGCAGUUUUAGAUUUGUUGUGAGGGCUCAAUGGUGUCAUCUAGGAACCUGGAUCUUUCUAUGUAACUCCAGCUCGUUGGCUUUUAUUCUUAGGCUUUUGUUCUUAUUGCCGUGUGGUUACCAGUAGUGGCCUCACCUUCAAACAGUAAAUCCUCACACA